AGGGGCGGGGACUGAACAGGCCGUAUAAGGGCGCGCUGAGCCCAGAAUCCCGCACAAGCUCCGGGGACUGGGCUGGGGACCAAGCCAAGCACGGCCCGGCCAGGUGAAGGGUGGCCAGGAAGGGAGGGGCGGACCAGGUGCACACCUGCGGUGGCCGCCCCGGCGGGCGACGUGUCAGCCGCAGAUGCGCGCAGGUGAGGGCGGCGGCUAGCGGAGCGCUGUGUGGCACUGUGCUCGCGGAAGACCAGGACAGGAGAUCACCAAGGGCCACAGCCAGGCCCCGGGCCUUCCGCUCCCGCCCCGCGACGAGCCCCUCGCACAAACCGGACCUGAGCGUUUUGUUCGUUCGGCUCGCGUGAGGCAGGGGUGGCCUCUCAGCACCUGCCCCGGGGCCGGGCCCGACCGCCACGCAGGCACCUGCCGUCGCCGCCGCCGCCGCCGCCAUACGGGUCGGAGAGGCUGCGAGCCACUCCCGGGGAAGAUCCGGCUCCCAUCCGGCCCCGCCCGCCCUGCCUUAUCCUGCCCGCAACUCCGGGGCUGCCCGGCUCGAUUCCGGGUAAUAUGGGCCGGCUGAGUAGGCUCCACCGGGUGGCAUAGGGGGCUGUGGCCGAGACAGGAGCCCUUCUGGAGGUGGAAACCCAGCUUCUAGUCCCUCUCUGUCCCAGCGACCUCUCUGGCCUUGGGCAAGUCAUUUCCCAGCCUUUCCUCGGUUUUCCUGUAUGUUCAGAGGGGUUGGUCUGGCCUUGGGCAAGGGCCUCACCAGUGCCCAGAUCCUGGUUUCGGGGCUUCUAGCAAUAAUGCUGAGCCACUUACCUGGGAAGUUGGAGGCCUUCGAGGGAUUGGAGUGUUAGCUGUGAGGAGGUGUGGAAAAUCAGGGUGGGGGAGCUAGAACCAGAUGAAGAUCAAGUCUGCUCCUUCACAUCUGUUUGGUGCUGACAUCCUGAGGGUUCGCUCCCUGCCAUCUCCCUGGCCCUUCUUUCAGUCUUCCCGUGUCUGAGACAGACAGACAGACUGUAGACAGACAGAUGGAAAAGGACAAAUGGGGCCUGGUAGCCCUUGCCAGGUGGGGUCCCCAGGCACCACAGCCAACCACCUUUCUUAAACUUCAUAAUCCCAAGGCUUCCUGUUAUAUGCAGCUGGGGGUGAGGGUGGGUCUCAGUGGCCCUCAUCUUAGGUGGGAGUCCACGGGUCAUCAGCCACAACCAAACCUGAGACAGCCGGUCCCUCUUCUGCAGGGAGUCAAAGUGUUAAGAUCUGACAUGAGGGAGGGGGGGUGGAGAUUGCCUUAGACCCCUGGCCUCCUGCCCCGGAGAGUCUAGAACUGAGGGUUCCACACACAGCCUGAGGUCAGUGUGAGCCCUUAGCUGAGUCUCUGUCCUUUCACUCCAGGUGUCCGUCAUUCCUCCUCUCUCAACAUUGAUGGUGAUGCUGGUCUAGCCCCAGGGAGAGGGUCGUAGGUGGAGGGAAGCCUCCUUGGACAGCAGUAAGGAGCUACAGUUUCCCCUUAGGCUGGAGAAACAGACAGCUGUGGCAGCUGACCGACCCCCUGCCCACCUGCUGGUUGUGACUCAGCCUUGGAACCUCUGGACGCAGAGGGUACCCAGGGUCUAUAGGGAAAAACUGAGAAGUAGAGUGCAGCUUAUACGCAGGGGAGCUUGGAUUUGAACCCAGGCUUUAGCGCAAGACUCCAGAGCACUCUUAACCCUUCAGUGUCUGUAUGAUCAGGGGCGGGUGACUGAGACACCUUCUCUCCUCCUCUCCGUGGCCGUGGAAUGGGAUAUGUGCAUGUGUAAGCGAAGGGCAUACUUGUGUGUGACUCCAACACCCAGCACAGAGUGGCACACAGCACAUUGUAUUAAACGUUUGAGGAAUAAGCGAGUGAACAA